UUAAUGGACGAAGGGUAAAGCAUGGUUCUCCCCGGCACUCGACAAUCUAAGAGCCCCGUGUAGUCACUCUUUGCUAAUAAUGGGACCGUAGUUGAGGAUUUCUCAAAGUGGAGAUGAGUGCUGUGACACACAACCGUUCUCCAGACAUAAACAAACUACACCACCCAAAACCAUCUAUUUUUUUGGCUGUUUGAUGUCUUCCUUGAACUACGUCAAGGAAUAGUGACAUUUCCGAAGCUUUUGUAUGUGUGUCUGCGUGUGCAAACUUGUGAAGAUAUGGUGUCAUUGUUUAGGUUUCGCAAUUAGGGCGUUGUUAGUCCGUCCAACUGUUGCCAUGGGAGAUCGUGACCUCAUGUCCUGAGGGGCUACGAGUGGUGUCUGAGUACUGGUGGAGUUUGGAGAGGAGCUAAUGAGAGAUCCUGUCUGCCUGCUGUUCCACUGAGCUCCAAAUUAAUCAACGACUCCCUCUCUCGCUCUCUCUUCCCAUCUAUAGGGGUAUACUACUGAUACUUUUCCCCUAUUGUUGUCUAAGCCUGUGUCUGUGUGUGUAUGUGUGUGCGUGCGGCUCUGUUUGGGAGGCAGCCAUUACCGAGAACAAAAGACAUUAAUUGGCAGUUAGAGCUUAAUGAGGCGGGAGAGGAAAUUAACAGAGCUCGUCAACAGAAACAAAUCAAAUCCUCCACUGAAUUGAUGCGGAGAGUUGCUGCCACUAACCAUCCAGUGCUACAAUAAAGAACGGCUCAUCUUAGACUCCAACUUUUUUUUGCAAUUCAUGGCAAAACUGAGAAGGAUGAAUCUUAGGGGGUAUCCGAUUGUUCCUAGCCUCCUCAGCCUCUACACUGAUCCCAGUUGCUGUCUAUAUUCAUAACCAAGCUCUUCCUGUAAUCCCGGAUUACCAGAGUGCUUCAGUCUCUGAUAUUAUCAUGUUGACGUUGCUGAGAGGUAUGAAGUGCCUUUUUGCCUUGUUGGAAUGCAAAUCUUAAGUGGAUAAAGUCAAGGGAUCUGACUCAUGUGGUAAUUGCCAGGACUUUUUGUACUUUAAACCAUAAACCAAAAACGCUGACACAAAGAGGGGAACAUUCUGAUUUCAAGGGAAAUUAGUCUGAAAAAUAGUCAGAAAUACUUACACCAUCAAAUGUGUCCAUUUUAGAGCAGUCACAUUUAAAUGCAUGAAACAAAUCCAACAUUUAAAGGGAUGGUAAUGAGUAGCGAUGACAGAAUUUUCAUUUUUGAGAGUACUUUCUCUUUAAAUACAUUUGAAUGCACUUUAAAAGUUUUAUGCUUGAGAACUAAACAGUUAGUACGACUGAAAUUGUACUAAAUGUUAAUCAGACUACAAUUGACUACAACUGGCUUUGAUAUGACUCUUGAUACGACUCUGAAUUGACUACAAAUAUUCAAUUUAUGGAUUGUGUCAUGUAUACAUGGACAGACAGACAGAGACUGUACCUUGACUGCACAAAUUUCAAGUGUGCAUGUAAAUAUACUGUCAGCUUAAAAUUUGACAAAGCGAUGUGAACUUUGCUGUUAGCUAAAUCUGAAUGUAUCUUGAGUCUGAGUAGCAGGUCCUCUAGGGAGCCCAUGGGUCCUGUAAGUGCACUUCUUGUUCUAACAAGCGUUCCAUCUGUUGGGAUCCACAGCUACAUCUCUGCUUUUACCCCCUGGAGACCCGCAAGUCUGAGAGACCGAAACACAGUGAGAAGAGAGGAAAGAAAGAACAUGUUAUUAUAAGUCAUUCGCAGCGUAAACAAUGGCCCUUUGUUCAGAAUAGCAUGUUGUUUUAGUAUAUCCUUGUACACAUGGUUUCAGUGUUAGACAUACUAACGUGCUUGUUGGCAAGGUGUUGCUGGGAUUCUAAUUGGCGUGUUUGUGGCAGAAAACACAGGGAUAAUUAUUAGGUGCUUUCAGUUCCCUCUCAGGGUUUGUCAGUUAUUGCUCUCGCCAUCUGCUCAAUGUGGUUGCACAAACACGCAUAAAAGCACACAUACGCACACACCUGCUCCCCGCAGUCCCAGAAUGCCAGCAAGUGUGACCCAGGUGUGAGUCAGAUGUAAUGCCUUUGAGAAUCUCAAUGACCUAUAGCAUGCCUAUCUGACACCUCCUCAUACUCUUCUCUUUGUUCGUGCCCUUUUGUCUUCCUCCACAUUCACAGGUGGAAAAAAAGAGUGUUUAUCUAAUAGUGAAGCUAUUUUUCGGGUGGGGUGUUAGGUGACCAGAUUGUGAGUAUGUGUUGUGUGCAUCUGUGUAGAUGUUUGCACCGGGAACUCCCUGGGUGCCACUGUUUCAAACACUCAAGCCUUUUGCUUCAUUCUCUCUUUAUUUGAACACACCCUCUAGGUGCAAGGGGAGUGGAGGUGUGAGACGACAGAUAAUUACAGUCCACCCCAAUUUAGACACGAAAUUUCUGUUUAUAAUGAUGCUACUGCUCUCCAUUAAAAAAAAUAUGCCACACGUGACUGGCUCUCAUGGCAUGCCUUGGUCUUUCUGAACCAAGGUUACAAUACUGUUGGUUUACGACACAAAAGAGAACUUCUCUUAAUAUUAAAGUUAAAAAAAGAAAAUUGUUAUUUGCUCAGCACCAUGUCCUUCCAA